rnacentral:rRNA from 1 species
UACGAAGGGGGCUAGCGUUGCUCGGAAUCACUGGGCGUAAAGCGCACGUAGGCGGAUUGCUAAGUCAGGGGUGAAAUCCUGGGAGCUCAACUCCAGAACUGCCUUUGAUACUGGCGAUCUCGAGUCCGGGAGAGGUGAGUGGAACUGCGAGUGUAGAGGUGAAAUUCGUAGAUAUUCGCAAGAACACCAGUGGCGAAGGCGGCUCACUGGCCCGGUACUGACGCUGAGGUGCGAAAGCGUGGGGAGCAAACAGG